AGGCUAAGCAGGCGAAGCACU
rnacentral:misc_RNA from 1 species